UACGUAGGGUGCAAGCGUUGUCCGGAAUUAUUGGGCGUAAAGAGCUCGUAGGCGGUUUGUCGCGUCUGCUGUGAAAACCCGAGGCUCAACCUCGGGCCUGCAGUGGGUACGGGCAGACUAGAGUGCGGUAGGGGAGAUUGGAAUUCCUGGUGUAGCGGUGGAAUGCGCAGAUAUCAGGAGGAACACCAAUGGCGAAGGCGGCUAACUGGUCCAGAUCUGACGCUGAGGUGCGAAAGCGUGGGGAGCAAACAGG
rnacentral:rRNA from 1 species